AGGGCGCUUAGGCUGGCUGAAAAC
rnacentral:snRNA from 1 species